rnacentral:rRNA from 1 species
UUAGCGGCGGACGGGUGAGUAACACGUGGGUAACCUACCUAUAAGACUGGGAUAACUUCGGGAAACCGGAGCUAAUACCGGAUAAUAUUUCGAACCGCAUGGUUCGAUAGUGAAAGAUGGUUUUGCUAUCACUUAUAGAUGGACCCGCGCCGUAUUAGCUAGUUGGUAAGGUAACGGCUUACCAAGGCGACGAUACGUAGCCGACCUGAGAGGGUGAUCGGCCACACUGGAACUGAGACACGGUCCAGACUCCUACGGGAGGCAGCAGUAGGGAAUCUUCCGCAAUGGGCGAAAGCCUGACGGAGCAACGCCGCGUGAGUGAUGAAGGUCUUCGGAUCGUAAAACUCUGUUAUUAGGGAAGAACAUACGUGUAAGUAACUAUGCACGUCUUGACGGUACCUAAUCAGAAAGCCACGGCUAACUACGUGCCAGCAGCCGCGGUAAUACGUAGGUGGCAAGCGUUAUCCGGAAUUAUUGGGCGUAAAGCGCGCGUAGGCGGUUUUUUAAGUCUGAUGUGAAAGCCCACGGCUCAACCGUGGAGGGUCAUUGGAAACUGUAAAACUUGAGUGCAGAAGAGGAAAGUGGAAUUCCAUGUGUAGCGGUGAGAUGCGCAGAGAUAUGGAGGAACACCAGUGGCGAAGGCGACUUUCUGGUCUGUAACUGACGCUGAUGUGCGAAAGCGUGCGGAUCAAACAGGAUUAGAUACCCUGGUAGUCCACGCCGUACACGAUGAGUGCUAAGUGUUAGGAGGUGUCCGCGCCUUAGUGCUGCAGCUAACGCAUUAAGCACUCCGCCUGGCGAGUACGACCGCAAGGUUGAGACUCGAAGGAAUUGACGGGGACCCGCACAAGCGGUGGAGCAUGUGGUUUAAUUCGAAGCAACGCGAAGAACCUUACCAAAUCUUGACAUCCUUUGACAACUCUAGAGAUAGAGCCUUCCCCUUCGGGGGACAAAGUGACAGGUGGUGCAUGGUUGUCCGCAUCUCGUGUCCUGAGAUGUUGGGAUAAGUCCCGCAACGAGCGCAACCCUUAAGCUUAUUUGCCUCAUUAAGUGGGGCACUCUAAGUUGACUGCCGGUGACAACCGGAAGAAAAGUGGGGA